GUAGGUGAGCUCUGCGGUACAGUUAAAAAGCUCCGUGCGACAGUAGGUGAGCUCCGCGGUACACUUAAAAAGCUCUGUGCGACAGUAGGUGAGCUCCGCGGUACACUUAAAAAGCUCUGUGCGACAGUAGGUGAGCUCCGCUGUACAGUUAAAAAGCUCUGUGCGACAGUAGGUGAGCUCCGCGGUACAGUUAAAAAGCUACGCGCGACAGUAGGUGAGCUCCGAGGUACAGUUAAAAAGCUCCGCGCGACAGUAUGUGAGCUCCGAGGUACAGUUAAAAAGCUCCGCGCGACAGUAGGUGAGCUCAGCGGUACAGUUAAAAAGCUCCGCGCGACAGUAGGUGAGCUCCGAGGUACAGUUAAAAAGCUCCGCACCACAGUAGGUGAGCUCCGCUGUACAGUUAAAAAGCUCUGUGCGACAGUAGGUGAGCUCCGCGGUACAGUUAAAAAGCUCUGCGCGACAGUAGGUGAGCUCCGCAGUACAGUUAAAAAGCUCCGCGCGACAGAAGGUGAGCUCCGCGGUACAGUUAUAAAGCUCCAUGCGACAGCAGGUGAGCUCCGAGGUACAGUUAAAAAGCUCCGCGCGACAGUACGUGAGCUCCGCGGUACAGUUAAAAAGCUCCGUGCGACAGUACGUGAGCUCCGCAGUACAGUUAAAAAGCUCCACGCGACAGCACGUGAGCUCCGCGGUACAGUUAAAAAGCUCCGCGCAACAGUAUGUGAGCUCCGCGGUACAGUUAAAAAGCUCCGCGCGACAGUACGUGAGCUCCGCGGUACAGUUAAAAAGCUCCACGCGACAGUAGGUGAGCUCCGCGGUACAGUUAAAAAACUCUGUGCGGCAGUAGGUAAACUCCGCGGUACAGUUAAAAAGCUCCAUGCGACAGUAGGUGAGGUCUGCGGUACAGUUAAAAAGCUCCGCGCGACAGUAGGUGAGCUCCGCGGUACAGUUAAAAAGCUCUGUGCGACAGUAGGUGAGCUCCGCGGUACAGUUAAAAAGCUCCGCGCGACAGUAUGUGAGCUCCGCGGUACAGUUAAAAAGCUCCACGCGACAGUAUGUGAGCUCCGCGGUACAGUUAAAAAGCUCCGCGCGACAGUAUGUGAGCUCCGCGGUACAGUUAAAAAGCUCCGCGCGACAGUAUGUGAGCUCCGCGGUACAGUUAAAAAGCUCCGCGCGACAGUNNNNNNNNNNNNNNNNNNNNNNNN
rnacentral:lncRNA from 1 species